rnacentral:rRNA from 1 species
GUAGGUGGCAAGCGUUGUCCGGAAUUAUUGGGCGUAAAGCGCGCGCAGGCGGUUCUUUAAGUCUGAUGUGAAAGCCCACGGCUCAACCGUGGAGGGUCACUGGAAACUGGAGAACUUGAGUACAGAAGAGGAAAGCGGAAUUCCACGUGUAGCGGUGAAAUGCGUAGAGAUGUGGAGGAACACCAGUGGCGAGGGCGGCUUUCUGGUCUGUAACUGACGCUGAGGCGCGAAAGCGUGGGGAGCAAACAGGGAUUAGAUACCCUGGUAGUCCACGCCGUAAACGAUGAGUGCUAAGUGUUAGGGGGGUUUCCGCCCCCUUAGUGCUGCAGCUAACGCAUUAAGCACUCCGCCUGGGGAUACGGCCGCAAGGCUG